rnacentral:miRNA from 1 species
CUGAACGGCUUGAAGGGCACG